UAGCACUAUACUUUCAGGGAUAAUUUCUAUAGUUAAACUAGAGAAGUGCAUUCAAAAGUGGUUGGUCGAGCGGACCAUGAGGAAGAGUCAAAGUGUUCUCUCCCGAGUGUGAAGCAAGCGUGCAGUGCUGCAUUUAUGCAGCUGUUGCGUGCUAUCAAUGCUCGUUCUGGUUUCUUUAUUUUAAGGAGGCUGGAGGGAGAGUACAUAGAUGGA